rnacentral:rRNA from 1 species
GGUUAAGUGAAUAAGCGUAUACGGUGGAUGCCUUGGCAAUUGGAGGCGAUGAAGGACGUGUUAAUCUGCGAUAAGUCUGGUUAAGGUGAUAAAAACCGUUAUAAACCAGAAUUUCCGAAUGGGGAAACCCACCCUUUUUAGGGUAUCGUAUAGUGAAUACAUAGCUAUGCGAAGCGAACCCGGAGAACUGAAACAUCUAAGUACCCGGAGGAAAAGAAAUCAACCGAGAUUUCCUAAGUAGCGGCGAGCGAACGGGAAACAGCCGAAUCAGCAUGGUUUAGUGGAAUGCUCUGGAAAGUGCAACGAUAGUGGGUGAUAGUCCCGUACACGACAAGCCAUGUUGGACAUAUUAAGUAGGUCGGAGCACGAGAAACUUUGACUGAAGAUAGGGGGACCAUCCUCUAAGGCUAAAUACUCCCAAUUGACCGAUAGUGAACCAGUACCGUGAGGGAAAGGCGAAAAGAACCCCUGUGAGGGGAGUGAAAUAGAACCUGAAACCGUAUACGUACAAGCAGUAGGAGCAGACUUGUUCUGUGACUGCGUACCUUUUGUAUAAUGGGUCAACGACUUAUAUUUUGUAGCAAGGUUAACCGAAUAGGGGAGCCGUAGGGAAACCGAGUCUUAACUGGGCGAAUAAGUUGCAAGGUAUAGACCCGAAACCCGGUGAUCUAGCCAUGGGCAGGUUGAAGGUUGAGUAACAUCAACUGGAGGACCGAACCCACUAACGUUGAAAAGUUAGGGGAUGACCUGUGGCUAGGAGUGAAAGGCUAAUCAAACCGGGAGAUAGCUGGUUCUCCCCGAAAUCUAUUUAGGUAGAGCCUCGGACGAAUACUUACGGGGGUAGAGCACUGUUUGGGCUAGGGGGCCAUCCCGGCUUACCAACCCCAUGCAAACUCCGAAUACCGUAAAGUAAUAUCCGGGAGACACACGGCGGGUGCUAACGUUCGUCGUGGAGAGGGAAACAACCCAGACCGCCAGCUAAGGUCCCAAAGUUUAUGCUAAGUGGGAAACGAUGUGGGAAGGCUUAGACAGCUAGGAGGUUGGCUUAGAAGCAGCCACCCUUUAAAGAAAGCGUAAUAGCUCACUAGUCGAGUCGGCCUGCGCGGAAGAUGUAACGGGGCUAAGCAUAACACCGAAGCUGCGGUAGCGAAUUUAUUCGCUAGGUAGGGGAGCGUUCUGUAAGUGGUUGAAGGUGGAUUGAGAAGUCUGCUGGACAUAUCAGAAGUGCGAAUGUUGACAUGAGUAACGAUAAUGGGGGUGAAAAACCCCCACGCCGAAAGACCAAGGGUUCCUAUCCCAUGCUAAUCAGGGUAGGGUAAGUCGGCCCCUAAGGCGAGGCAGAAAUGCGUAGUCGAUGGGAAACAGAUUAAUAUUUCUGUACUUUUAAUCAUUGCGAUGGGGGGACGGAGAAGGCUAGGUGAGCACGGCGAUGGUUGUCCGUGUGAAAGUGUGUAGGUAGGCUGCUUAGGUAAAUCCGGGCGGCUAAUACUGAGACACGAGACGAGUCACUAAGGUGAUGAAGUCAUUGAUGCCAUACUUCCAGGAAAAGCCUCUAAGCUUCAGAUGAUUAAGAACCGUACCCCAAACCGACACAGGUGGUCAGGUAGAGAAUACUAAGGCGCUUGAGAGAACUCGGGUGAAGGAACUAGGCAAAAUGGUACCGUAACUUCGGGAGAAGGUACGCCCACGUUAGGUGAAGACACUUGCUGUCGGAGCUGAAGUGGGUCGCAGUGACCUGGUGGCUGCAACUGUUUAUUAAAAACACAGCACUGUGCUAAAUCGAAAGAUGACGUAUACGGUGUGACACCUGCCCGGUGCCGGAAGGUUAAUUGAUUGGGUUAUCUUCGGAGAAGCUCAUGAUCGAAGCCCCGGUAAACGGCGGCCGUAACUAUAACGGUCCUAAGGUAGCGAAAUUCCUUGUCGGGUAAGUUCCGACCUGCACGAAUGGUGUAAUGAUGGCCACGCUGUCUCCACCCGAGACUCAGUGAAAUUGAAAUCGCAGUGAAGAUGCUGUGUACCCGCGGCUAGACGGAAAGACCCCGUGAACCUUUACUACAGCUUGACACUGAACAUUGAGCCUACAUGUGUAGGAUAGGUGGGAGGCUAUGAAACUUGGACGCCAGUUCAGGUGGAGCCAUCCUUGAAAUACCACCCUUGUAUGUUUGAUGUUCUAACAUUGGCCCCUUAUCGGGGUUGUGGACAGUGUCUGGUGGGUAGUUUGACUGGGGCGGUCUCCUCCCAAAGAGUAACGGAGGAGCACGAAGGUUUGCUAAGUACGGUCGGACAUCGUACGGUUAGUGUAAUGGUAGAAGCA